ensembl:lncRNA
AUUUCCUCCUGAAGAAAAGACUGGCCAGACUCCAAGAAACCAGCAACAUUCAUCUUCUGAGGAUAUAGCUGUUCAUGUAGACAAGGAGGUCUGUCGCCAGAUGGACUCGGUCUUCAAGGAGCUUAUUUCGCGUCAAACACUGCAGGAACCCUCCUCCACCGUCUCCUCAUCCUCAGCCCAGGCUCCCCAAAGGAAAGGGAGGCGGGGUGAUGGACGCAGGGAGAAAUGACCAGGUCUCUUCAAAGCAGCAGAUCCAUGGGACUGAGAGGACAGGGGAUAGGAAAAGAGACAGAGCGGUGAUGUUAAUGAAAACUGAAGUGUGGCUCGAAGGGCUCUGACAGCAGCUUUCAGCACAUCUAUUUCUAGAAGUCAGAUCACUGACCCAUAGUCCUUGUCUGAAGUCCCUGCGUUUGGUUCAGGCUUCUCUCCACAUGAUGGCGCCAGACUCAAGAGCUCUUUCAUUUUUGUUUUGUACAGUGGAUCCCAUUUGUGACUGCAGAGCUGCAGUACAAUAUAGAAACUGAAAUACUUGAAAUGCACUGAUUUGUUUGUGUAAAGCUGUGUGGUUGUGCAGCUUUAUUUCUGCAUCGGUGUUGGUGUUACUAUUCAACUGUUUCCAGUUAAAGUCAGAUUUUAUCAGUGAUUUUUAGUGCACAUACACAUUUCUACAAGUUCAAAUGUCUCUCAAACUGAGGUGGAGUCACAAAGUUGCUAAAGCUGUGAAUGCUGUAGCUGUAAGGAAUUUGUAUAUAUUGCAAUAUUUCUAACUUGUUUCAAACUUUUAUGAUUUGUCUGUAGACUACAUAACAAAUAAAUAAUUUGUCUGUUCUCAUUGCUUUUUUAAAAAAAAUCACGAGUUCUGGAUAUGAGUGCUGAAAACAGGAAGUAUAACUUGUAUUUCUCCCACAUUAGUCUUGAUUAUUUCAAGUAAAAUUUUGACAUUUUGGCCAG